rnacentral:rRNA from 1 species
GCAAGUCGAGGGGUAACAUAAAGUGCUUGCACUUUGAUGACGACCGGCGCACGGGUGCGCACCGCGUAUGAAACCUACCUUAUACAGGGGAAUAGCCUUUGGAAACGAAGAUUAAUGCCCCAUAGUACCUUUUGUAGCAUUGCAAGAUGGUUAAAGACUUCGGUCGUUAUAAGAUGGUCAUGCGUCCCAUUAGUUAGUUGGUGAGGUAACGGCUUACCAAGACAGCGAUGGGUAGGGGCCCUGAGAGGAUGAUC